UGGUCUCUUGCACAUCCUCUUUGUCACAUGUGGCUGAAACUGGAGCAGGAGUUCAAAAGGAGGAUGCAGGGCACUGAUGAGGGAGGAGGAGACACACAUCUACAUACUGGCAUUCUGCUUGGUUUCAGUUCAGGCACAUAAAAGGGAUGCUGAGAAGCUUCACUAACAAGAGAUUGAAAACAAAACCCCCCGACCGCUUUCUACAGAGCAAACAUUGCCCACUCCAGGCCCUGGGGCCGGUGGCAUGGAGACGGUCCCAUCCCAGGACCGGCAGAGCAGCGCUGUCCCGGACAGAGUGAUCCAAACCCCUCCUUUGUUUCUCCUCUCUUUGAGUUUUCUUUGCCCUUUUUUUUCCCUUCCUCUUUCUUUUCCUCUUGGGUUUUUUUCUCUCCCUCCAAGGUAACAAUGCCUCCUUUCAGGCACUGCCAAAGCCCUGCUCAAGCCCACUCAGAUAAGAGCUGGCAGGAAAGGUAACUGCCAUCAAUAUUUGGGUGAAUGUUAACUACCUGAGGACAGGCUGGGUGGGGGAUCACAACAGGCGGUUGCGAGCACCUGGGCUAUGUUUAAAACCACCACAUUUAAAGUCAUCUCCCUCCCCGGAUCCUCCUGCAUCCCCAAGUGAAGUCUCUCCAGCGUUAGUGGCUGUGUAAGACAGCGCUUAACCAAGUCGGGGCUAAGUCAAGAGCCGUGCUCCACGUGAAGGAGGGGUGGGCGCUGCCGCGGUCGCUGGCCCAUAGGAAAUCGGUGACCCAGGGACAUCUGCAAGCCAUUAGGACACAGACUUCAGGUAGCUCCCAGAAACACGUGCUGUCCACAUUACACCCUCCAAGGAUAUUUCCACAACUUUACUUCUCCAAAUAAACAGUCGGGCUCUCCCUGCAUUAGCGAGGAGCUGCACAAACAGGAGAAAAACCCAGCACUUUGGGAAGGGCAUUUCCAUUGGGCUUUAACGGAGCCAGAUAAACUUUCCAUUUUACCCAAGUUUGCAGAGCUUGGAGCCAAACGCUGCGAGCAAAUAAAGAAAUAAAUAUAAAUAAGCCCCCAAAA